ensembl:lncRNA
GUGGGAGUGAUUGACUGUUGAUUGCUGAUCUAAGGAGGCUGAUCCAAGCCAGCAGGGUUUUGCCCACUUGAAGUUGUGUAAUUUGGUUUGGUAUGUCUAUAUUGUUUUUCUUUUCUGUGUUAUUAUGUUUUCACCACCAGAACAUCAGUUACCUGCAUGAGCUGCUCCACUACACUGAGCCAGAACACCCUGGACCUUGAUUCAGGAUGUGGUAAGUUGUUGAAUACAGUAUCCCAUAAAGCUGACCAGGAAAUUGCUGACAUAGAAUGGAAGUGGGAAUUCAUUUCAACUCAUGUCAGUGGAAUGGAAGGAGAAUAAGUGCUCCGUUACUGGAAAAAAGCAACUGUAAACUGGUGGCCAACAUUGUGGAUACACUGUAAACCC